AGCCGCUGGUGCGCCGCGGGGAAAAGGGGGGUCGGGCGAAACCGGAGCGGGAUCUCGGGGCGCGCGGGCUCUCGAGCCGAUGCGUGUCGGAAGCCGCCGCCGCCGCCGCCGUUGUUCUGCCCCGCUCGGUUUUAUUAGCUACAUAUUUGACCGCGUAUUUUUAUACUUCAGUCUGGGCGCUUAUUAUGCCGUGUGAAAACGCUGUUUUGGGUUUUUUUUUCCCAAAGACGGAUUAAAGCAAUUAAAUGUAAACAAAAAUAAACAGAUAAAAAGUAAAGAAUAAGCAGAAUUAAACUAUAAAGUUGAUUAAAGACGCCUUGCUCGCGCGUCYGACGACACGAACGACCUCGGCGCCUCCCGAACGGCUGCGCGGAGCAAACCGGCGGCAAAUCUGCCUCCCUCCGUGUUUUCGCCGUCCCUUUUUUCCGCCGGAGCCGCGCGUUGGCGGGGCGGCUCUUUCCGGCCAAUGGAUCGCCGCAUGGAUUUAAUGGAGUCGCGCGUUUCGCCGGUCGUCCCGUACGCCGGCGACUGGAAACUAGAAUUAGUCGGAAGGGUUUUUUUUCCCUUGUUGUUUUUUUUAUCCUUUUCCCCCAGGCGCUGCCGCGGCUCGUCCGUCCGUCCGUCGGCGCGGAGAGGUGGCCCGGCCGCGGGAAGAAACGCCGCCCGUUUCCCACGCCUCCUGCGUCCUCUUCUUUAACGACUCGCCGAGCCGCCCCGGCUGGUGGCGCGGGUAUUUUUAGACAGGCGUCUGCAGGAGCGGUGGAGAGGGAGUUGGCGCGCCGCAACGAAACCCGGCGGCGGAGGAAAAACUCGCUCGGCGGCCGAACGGCGGCCGCGUCUUUGCGAAGCGGCGGCGAGCGCUUCGUCCCCGGAGCCCUGCGCGAACCGCCGCGGUCAUUCCGGGGACGGGUUUGCGGGUUUGCAGCCCUCCCCUGGCAUUUAAGGUUUCGCUCAUCCCAAACUUCUGCCGGAGGGCUUUCCUUUUUUCCUUCUUUCCCCCCCCCCUCCAGCCACCGCAGGAGUAACAGUUUGCUAAGGAUCUCGCUAAUAACAUAUUACCCGCCCCAGAACAGGAGAGGCUACGGCGUAACUGGGAGGCGAGAGGAGCUCCCGGCGAUGCCAAAAUCCAGCCUGCGCGUGAAAUUUGAGGAUUUAGGAGCGAAGGGCAGGCGAUGA
ensembl:lncRNA